rnacentral:rRNA from 1 species
GCAGUCGCCACGGUAAUACGUAGGGUGCAAGCGUUAAUCGGAAUUACUGGGCGUAAAGCGUGCGCAGGCGGUUUGUUAAGACAGAUGUGAAAUCCCCGGGCUUAACCUGGGAACUGCAUUUGUGACUGGCGGGCUAGAGUAUGGCAGAGGGGGGUAGAAUUCCACGUGUAGCAGUGAAAUGCGUAGAGAUGUGGAGGAAUACCGAUGGCGAAGGCAGCCCCCUGGGCCAAUACUGACGCUCAUGCACGAAAGCGUGGGGAGCAAACAGGAUUAGAUACCCGAGUAGUCCCUGUCUCUUAUAC